UGAGAGUCGGGAUGGUUAUUAGUCUGUCUGCAUGUGGGGAAUGAGUCGGGAUGGUUAUUAGGUGGAGGUGGAGAGAUCCGCUAGUCUGUCUGCGCGUGGGGAAUGAGAGUCGGGAUGGUUAUUAGGCGGAGGUGGAGAGAUCCGCUAGUCUGUCUGCGCGUGGGGAAUGAGAGUCGGGAUGGUUAUUAGGCGGAGGUGGAGAGAUCCGCUAGUCUGUCUGCGCGUGGGGAAUGAGAGUCGGGAUGGUUAUUAGGCGGAGGUGGAGAGAUCCGCUAGUCUGUCUGCGCGUGGGGAAUGAGAGUCGGGAUGGUUAUUAGGCGGAGGUGGAGAGAUCCGCUAGUCUGUCUGCGCGUGGGGAAUGAGAGUCGGGAUGGUUAUUAGGCGGAGGUGGAGAGAUCCGCUAGUCUGUCUGCGCGUGGGGAAUGAGAGUCGGGAUGGUUAUUAGGCGGAGGUGGAGAGAUCCGCUAGUCUGUCUGCGCGUGGGGAAUGAGAGUCGGGAUGGUUAUUAGGCGGAGGUGGAGAGAUCCGCUAGUCUGUCUGCGCGUGGGGAAUGAGAGUCGGGAUGGUUAUUAGGCGGAGGUGGAGAGAUCCGCUAGUCUGUCUGCGCGUGGGGAAUGAGAGUCGGGAUGGUUAUUAGGCGGAGGUGGAGAGAUCCGCUAGUCUGUCUGCGCGUGGGGAAUGAGAGUCGGGAUGGUUAUUAGGCGGAGGUGGAGAGAUCCGCUAGUCUGUCUGCGCGUGGGGAAUGAGAGUCGGGAUGGUUAUUAGGCGGAGGUGGAGAGAUCCGCUAGUCUGUCUGCGCGUGGGGAAUGAGAGUCGGGAUGGUUAUUAGGCGGAGGUGGAGAGAUCCGCUAGUCUGUCUGCGCGUGGGGAAUGAGAGUCGGGAUGGUUAUUAGGCGGAGGUGGAGAGAUCCGCUAGUCUGUCUGCGCGUGGGGAAUGAGAGUCGGGAUGGUUAUUAGGCGGAGGUGGAGAGAUCCGCUAGUCUGUCUGCGCGUGGGGAAUGAGAGUCGGGAUGGUUAUUAGGCGGAGGUGGAGAGAUCCGCUAGUCUGUCUGCGCGUGGGGAAUGAGAGUCGGGAUGGUUAUUAGGCGGAGGUGGAGAGAUCCGCUAG